UACGGGGGGGGCAAGCGUUGUUCGGAAUUACUGGGCGUAAAGGGCUCGUAGGCGGCCAACUAAGUCCGACGUGAAAUCCCAAGGCUUAACCUUGGAACUGCGUCGGAUACUGGAUGGCUUGAAUUCGGGAGAGGGAUGCAGAAUUCCAGGUGUAGCGGUGAAAUGCGUAGAUAUCGUGAGGAACACCAGAGGCGAAGGCGGUUACCUGGACAGUUACUGACGCUCAGGCACGAAAGCAUGGGGAGCAAAAGGG
rnacentral:rRNA from 1 species